GGUGGACUAUCAUGGGGUUGGCAGCGGCCGCGGCGGCAGUGGGGACUGUCUGGCGAGCAAGCACGGAUGCUCCCGAGAGAAGGGCAGUGAGCACCGCGUAGGUGGCACGUGGGGCCAGAAUGCUUGACAGGAUCCCUGGCGUCGGAAGACAGUGGGUCCCCCGGGGCAGGAGACCAAGGCGCCGGCCAGGGGAGAUCUACGUGAUCCGUCUUCGGGCUGGACUUCUUCCACUUGCUCCCCCACACCCCCAGAUCCGCCGGCCGCCCUCCCCGCCCAGCGCUCCAGGAGGCUGCAGAGGACGGGCCGCCUCAGCAGAGCUUCCUGCCACCAGGUUCCUGGCUGGUUGGCGCCUGCCCGAGAUCAGAGGGGGGAGCGUGAAGCCGUCCAUUUCUCCUCUGCUUCCUCCCUUUGGCGCCGUCCUACGCUGGCUCGGUUUGGAGGACCAACCUUCUGAGUUUAUGCUUCCUGUCCCCGUAAACCGAAGCUCUGCUGCGUUAGAGAUCCUGGUGCCAAGUGUGGAAGUACUCCCCACGGGGACAGGACAUGCUUUCUCAGCGACCAACCAGGCCAUGAGAGGAUAA
rnacentral:lncRNA from 12 species